GCAUUUGUAGUAAAAUUGAUUAUUUUUGCCUUCCAAGCGAAAGUUCCAGUAAUUGGUAAAUGUU
rnacentral:tRNA from 1 species